rnacentral:rRNA from 1 species
CGCCGUCUUGGCAUGGGGGACCCUGAUCCAGCAAUGCCGCGUGUGUGAAGAAGGUCUUCGGAUUGUAAAGCACUUUUGGCAGGGACGAUGAUGACGGUACCUGCAGAAUAAGCCCCGGCUAACUUCGUGCCAGCAGCCGCGGUAAUAAUACGUGCCAGCAGCCGCGGUAAUAACUAUUUUCUCCCCCCCCGUUUGUGGGGGGAGAAAAAAAAGGG